CAGUAGCCGCGGGAAUACAGAGGGUGCAGCGUUAAUCGGAAUUACUGGGCGUAAAGCGCGCGUAGGUGGUUUGUUAAGUUGGAUGUGAAAUCCCCGGGCUCAACCUGGGAACUGCAUCCAAAACUGGCAAGCUAGAGUAUGGUAGAGGGUGGUGGAAUUUCCCGUGUAGCGGUGAAAUGCGUAGAUAUAGGAAGGAACACCAGUGGCGAAGGCGACCACCUGGACUGAUACUGACACUGAGGUGCGAAAGCGUGGGGAGCAAACAGGAUUAGAUACCCCCGUAGUCCCUGUCUCUUAUACA
rnacentral:rRNA from 1 species